CGAAAUGCGAUAAGUAAUGUGAAUUGCAGAGUUUUGUGAAUCAUCGAGUUUUUGAACGCACAUUGCGCCCCUCGGUAUUCCGACGGGCAUGCCUGUCCGAGCGUCGUUUCGCAAACCAUCGAGUAACAUCUCGGUCUUGGGCUGCGUCCCCGCAAACCGUGGACGAGCCCCAAAGCCCUCGGCGGCCCCCGAGCGUCCGGCCGGAGCGUCUUCGAAAGCGCCCGCUCCGCGCCCGUGAGGGGGGAUCUCGCCUCGCGAACACGCGCGCGCCCCGCGCACCGACACAGAGGUUUGACCUCGGAUCAGGCAGGGCUACCCGCUGAACUUAAGC
rnacentral:misc_RNA from 1 species